rnacentral:rRNA from 1 species
UACGUAGGGGGCAAGCGUUGUCCGGAUUUAUUGGGCGUAAAGAGCGUGUAGGCGGCCAGACAGGUCCGUUGUGAAAACUCGAGGCUCAACCUCGAGACGUCGAUGGAAACCGUCUGGCUAGAGUCCGGAAGAGGAGUGUGGAAUUCCUGGUGUAGCGGUGAAAUGCGCAGAUAUCAGGAAGAACACCUAUGGCGAAGGCAGCACUCUGGGACGGUACUGACGCUGAGACGCGAAAGCGUGGGGAGCAAACAGG